rnacentral:SRP_RNA from 1 species
GCCAGGUGUGGUGGUGUGCACCUGUAGUCCCAGCUACUUGGGAGGCUGAGGUGGGAGGAUCACUUGAGCCCAGGAGUUUGAGGCUGCAGUGAGCUGUGAUCAUGCCACUGUGAUCCAGCCUGGGUGACAGAGCAAGACCCCAUCUCUA